ensembl:lncRNA
UGAUUGUUUGACUGAGAGAGCAUCUGGCUGAGUGCUGGGUCAGGCGUGUUGGGGUGAUGUGGAGGGCAUCUGGCUGAGUGCAGGGUCAGGCGUGUUGGGGUGAUGUGGAGGGCAUCUGGCCGAGUGCAGGGUCAGGCGUGUUGGGGUGAUGUGGAGGGCAUCUGGCUGAGUGCAGGGUCAGGUGUGUUGGGGUGAUGUGGAGGGCAUCUGGCUGAGUGCUGGGUCAGGCGUAUUGGGGUGAUUUGGAGGGCAUCUGGCUGAGUGCAGGGUCAGGUGUGUUGGGGUGAUGUGGAGGGCAUCUGGCCGAGUGCUGGGUCAGGUGUGUUGGGGUGAUGUGGAGGGCAUCUGGCCGAGUGCAGGGUCAGGUGUGUUGGG